UACGUAGGGUGCAAGCGUUAAUCGGAAUUACUGGGCGUAAAGGGUGCGCAGGCGGUUCUGUAAGUCAGAUGUGAAAUCCCCGGGCUUAACCUGGGAAUUGCGUUUGAAACUACAGAGCUGGAGUGUGGCAGAGGGGGGUGGAAUUCCAUGUGUAGCAGUGAAAUGCGUAGAGAUAUGGAAGAACAUCGAUGGCGAAGGCAACCCCCUGGGUUAACACUGACGCUCAUGCACGAAAGCGUGGGGAGCAAACAGGAUUAGAAACCCCAGUAGUCC
rnacentral:rRNA from 1 species